GGAUGCUUUACAUGCAGUCGGACGGCAACACUAAAGCUUGCUUUAGGUGGCGAGUGGCGAACGGGUGAGUAAUAUAUCGGAAUGUACCCUAAAGUGGGGGAUAACUAAUUGAAAAAUUAGCUAAUACCGCAUAAUAUCUAAGGAUUAAAGUAGGGGAUCGAAAGACCUUAUGCUUUUGGAGCGGCCGAUAUCUGAUUAGCUAGUUGGCAGGGUAAAUGCCUACCAAGGCUAUGAUCAGUAGCUGUUCUGAGAGGAUGAUCAGCCACACUGGAACUGAGAUACGGUCCAGACUCCUACGGGAGGCAGCAGUGGGGAAUUUUGGACAAUGGGGGAAACCCUGAUCCAGCAAUACCGCGUGAGUGAAGAAGGCCUUAGGGUUGUAAAGCUCUUUUAUCAGGAAAGAAAUAAUUUUAAUUAAUACUUAAAAUGGAUGACGGUACCUGAAGAAUAAGCACCGGCUAACUACGUGCCAGCAGCCGCGGUAAUACGUAGGGUGCUAGCGUUAAUCGGAAUUACUGGGCGUAAAGAGUUGCGCAGGCGGUAAUAUAAGACAGAUGUGAAAUCCCUAGGCUUAACCUAGGAACUGCAUUUGUAACUGUAUUACUAGAGUGUAUUAGAGAGGGAUAGAAUUCCAUGUGUAGCAGUGAAAUGCGUAGAUAUGUGGAGGAAUACCGAUAGCGAAGGCAAUCCCUUGGGGUAACACUGACGCUCAUGUACGAAAGCGUGGGUAGCAAACAGGAUUAGAUACCCUGGUAGUCCACGCCCUAAACGAUGUCUACUAAUUAUUGGAUUUUAAUUUAUUCAGUAAUGUAGCUAACGCAUUAAGUAGACCGCCUGGGGAGUACGGUCGCAAGAUUAAAACUCAAAGGAAUUGACGGGGACCCGCACAAGCGGUGGAUGAUGUGGAUUAAUUCGAUGCAACGCGAAAAACCUUACCUACCCUUGACAUGUUUGGAAUUUUAAAGAAAUUUAAGAGUGCUUGUGAAAGAACCAAAACACAGGUGCUGCAUGGCUGUCGUCAGCUCGUGUCGUGAGAUGUUGGGUUAAGUCCCGCAACGAGCGCAACCCUUGUUGUUAAUUGCUACGUAAGAGCACUUUAACGAGACUGCCGGUGACAAGCCGGAGGAAGGUGGGGAUGACGUCAAGUCCUCAUGGCCCUUAUGGGUAGGGCUUCACACGUCAUACAAUGGUACAUACAAAUGGUAGCGAAUUUGUAAAAAGGAGCCAAUCCAAGAAAGUGUAUCGUAGUCCGGAUUGUAGUCUGCAACUCGACUACAUGAAGUUGGAAUCGCUAGUAAUCGCGGAUCAGCAUGUCGCGGUGAAUACGUUCCCGGGUCUUGUACACACCGCCCGUCACACCAUGGAAGCGGGUUUUGCCAGAAGUAGUUAGCUUAACCGUAAGGAGGCGAACCCGC
rnacentral:rRNA from 1 species